rnacentral:rRNA from 1 species
CCUACGGGAGGCAGCAGUGGGGAAUAUUGCACAAUGGGCGAAAGCCUGAUGCAGCGACGCCGCGUGAGGGAUGACGGCCUUCGGGUUGUAAACCUCUUUCAGCAGGGAAGAAGCGAAAGUGACGGUACCUGCAGAAGAAGCGCCGGCUAACUACGUGCCAGCAGCCGCGGUAAUACGUAGGGCGCAAGCGUUGUCCGGAAUUAUUGGGCGUAAAGAGCUCGUAGGCGGCUUGUCACGUCGGGUGUGAAAGCCCGGGGCUUAACCCCGGGUCUGCAUUCGAUACGGGCUAGCUAGAGUGUGGUAGGGGAGAUCGGAAUUCCUGGUGUAGCGGUGAAAUGCGCAGAUAUCAGGAGGAACACCGGUGGCGAAGGCGGAUCUCUGGGCCAUUACUGACGCUGAGGAGCGAAAGCGUGGGGAGCGAACAGGAUUAGAUACCCUGGUAGUCCACGCCGUAAACGGUGGGAACUAGGUGUUGGCGACAUUCCACGUCGUCGGUGCCGCNGCUACGCAUAACGUUACCCGUCCCGUCGGGUAGGUACGGCCGCGAGGACGUAAACGUUAAAGGUAAAGUUAGUAACGGUCGUGAGACGUGCGAAGGACGACGACGAGGGAGGAGG